rnacentral:siRNA from 1 species
AACUGUGUCUCAGAGAAAACAACA